GACGAACGCUGGCGGCGUGCUUAACACAUGCAAGUCGAGCGGUAAGGCCCUUCGGGGUACGACGAGCGGCGAACGGGUGAGUAACACGUGGGUGACCUGCCCUCCAGCUCUGGGAUAAGCCUGGGAAACCGGGGUCUAAUACCGGAUAUGACUCCAUGACGCAUGUUGUGGGGUGGAAAGCCUUGUGCGGCUGGGGAUGGGCCCGCGGCCUAUCAGCUUGUUGGUGGGGUGAUGGCCUACCAAGGCGA
rnacentral:rRNA from 1 species